rnacentral:rRNA from 1 species
AUUGAACGCUGGCGGCAGGCUUAACACAUGCAAGUCGAACGAUGAUUUCCCAGCUUGCUGGGAAUGAUUAGUGGCGGACGGGUGAGUAACAUUUAGGAAUCUGCCUAGUAGUGGGGGAUAGCUCGGGGAAACUCGAAUUAAUACCGCAUACGACUACGGGUGAAAGGGGGCGCAAGCUCUUGCUAUUAGAUGAGCCUAAAUCAGAUUAGCUAGUUGGUGGGGUAAAGGCCCACCAAGGCGACGAUCUGUAACUGGUCUGAGAGGAUGAUCAGUCACACCGGAACUGAGACACGGUCCGGACUCCUACGGGAGGCAGCAGUGGGGAAUAUUGGACAAUGGGGGCAACCCUGAUCCAGCCAUGCCGCGUGUGUGAAGAAGGCCUUUUGGUUGUAAAGCACUUUAAGCAGGGAGGAGAGGCUAAUGGUUAAUACCCAUUAGAUUAGACGUUACCUGCAGAAUAAGCACCGCUAA